CCCCCUGGACAAAGACUGACGCUCAGAUGCGAAAGCGUGGGAGCAAACAGGAUUAGAUACCCUGGUAGUUCACGCCGUAAACGAUGUCUACUUGAAGGUUGUGGCCUUGAGCCGUGGCUUUCGGAGCUAACGCGUUAAGUAGACCGCCUGGGGAGUACGGUCGCAAGAUUAAAACUCAAAUGAAUUGACGGGGGCCCGCACAAGCGGUGGAGCAUGUGGUUUAAUUCGAUGCAACGCGAAGAACCUUACCUACUCUUGACAUCCAGAGAAUUCGCUAGAGAUAGCUUAGUGCCUUCGGGAACUCUGAGACAGGUGCUGCAUGGCUGUCGUCAGCUCGUGUUGUGAAAUGUUGGGUUAAGUCCCGCAACGAGCGCAACCCUUAUCCUUGUUUGCCAGCACGUAAUGGUGGGAACUCCAGGGAGACUGCCGGUGAUAAACCGGAGGAAGGUGGGGACGACGUCAAGUCAUCAUGGCCCUUACGAGUAGGGCUACACACGUGCUACAAUGGCGUAUACAGAGGGCUGCCAACCAGCGAUGGUGAGCGAAUCCCACAAAGUACGUCGUAGUCCGGAUCGGAGUCUGCAACUCGACUCCGUGAAGUCGGAAUCGCUAGUAAUCGUGAAUCAGAAUGUCACGGUGAAUACGUUCCCGGGCCUUGUACACACCGCCCGUCACACCAUGGGAGUGGGCUGCACCAGAAGUAGAUAGCUUAACCUUCGGGAGGGCGUUUACCACGGUGUGGUUCAUGACUGGGGUGAAGUCGUA
rnacentral:rRNA from 1 species